CCUGCUGCGCAAUCUCUGCCUCCGUCGAAGCCAAGCCCAGCCGCCGCCCAUUCCUUUCUCCUCCGUUUUCUGCACUGCCGCGCGACUCUCCGACCGCGUCUGUCUUCACCUUCGUGAAGCCGUCGACGCAUACAUCUCGUGAAGUCAUACACGGAUCCAAGCCGAUCUCUUCCUAAAUUACGUGUCCCUCUGCUCGUUGUAAGACGGAGUUACGAUUUGAAGCCGAUUUUCUUUUCCAGUUGAGUCGCAUUCAGUGUUGCUCUAUUUACAGCCGCUUGAUUCGUUCUUGAUUGUCAUUUUUGCCUCGCCGUGAACCAUUGGGCUCAUAUUUGGGUAAGAACAAGUUAUGGUUUUUGUUGGUUUCUUGGUUUUUGUUGAAUGCUGCCAUUGGAUUUAAUUGUUGGCGAAAUGCUUAAUUCUUGAAGGUACAUCUUGAUUCAGUGAGCGAAUCUUUGAUUUUCCAAAAGGUUGAAGUGGACUUGAUUUUCCACUUCUUGGAUAAGUUGUGGAAUUUACAUAUUGGGUAAUUUGAAUGGUUGAAACUAUUUAGAAAGAUGUUGAUUUUAUGAUUGAUUAUGUUUAGGAUUUGAUUCAUUGGAUUUAGUAGAUUGAACAACUUGCAUAAAAGUGAGGUAAGGGAUUUUAUUUUCUACUGGACUCACCUAUGCUUUUAAAUUGUAAUGUUAGUCACCUCUGAUUGAGUAAAUGUGUUGAGACAAUAUAUAUAUAUACGUAUGGAUGUAGGUUCGGUGUUGAAUGUAUACUGUGGAUGACUGAAAAUAUAUAUAUACACAUGGAUUGAAGUAGACUUGAUGUUGAAUGCAUAUUGUGAUUGUCUUGGAAUAUAUAUAUAUGUGUGUGGAUGUAGACAGGACGACAAUUGUAGAUUGUGUUUGUAUGAGAUGCGGAUGUGAACUUGUGAUUGUCGUUUAGACUGGGUGUACGUUAUACUAAAGUAUGACUGUGUGCUGGUGAACUGAGAGGCGUUAUGACUAUAUAGUUUGAUUGACUGACGUAUUAGUAUGUUACUGACAGACAUUGGGCUAAAGUGAGAUAAGUUGAGUGAAAGAACUUUAUAUUUUGAAGUAGCUGAAAGAUGGUACGAAUGGAUUGAGGGGAAAAAUUGUUAGCUUUUAUUGGGAUGUGUGCCUUGUAGGUGUCCCACGGGAUCACCAAUUAUUCUGCACCUUCAGGAGCAUUAGACUGAUAUGUGUUUCUGCAGAACACUACACUGAAAUGUACGUCCCUCAGGGCGUUAGACUGAAAUGUGCAUCCUACGGGAUCACAAGACUGCGACCGUACAGGGUGUCCCAAUAGAAUGUGGGAUCACAAGACUGCGACCGUACAAGGUGUCCCAAUAGAAUGUUAACAAUUUAUUUUUCCCCUGACGGGACCAGUAGAGGGUCUCUUAUUGGGUAUUUUUAUACUCACCCUUCUUAUGUUUAAUUUUCAGGCAAAAGUAAUAAAGGCGGCAAACCGGCGAGGGGCAGGAAGGAAGUGUGAUUGCCAUAGGAAAUGUGUUAUUUUGCUUCCGCUUAUUGUUUUUUUUAGGUUUAAGACGUUGUAUUGAAACUUAGCUUACAAACUUUUAUUUGUAAAUAGUACUUUUUUUAAGUUUUUGGAAUAUUUGAAAAUCAGGCCUGACUUAAAGUUGUUUUUCAAUUGGCUUACAUUUCAUUUUGUAUCAACCAAAGUUUUUGUCAAAAAUUAACGACCUCGACUUACCUAGAAAAGUUGGGUCGUUACAGUUGGUCUUUGUUUUUGUCACUUUCUCAAAUAAUAAAGUAUGUGUUCUAUGGACUUAAUUAUUAUAACUUAUUUUGCCACUUUCGCAAGUGUCCCUUAAUUGUAAUACAUGUAUAUGUGACAUAAUCUAAUCAAACUAACUCAUAAAUGGACUUAAUCGAUCUCAUGGACCACAAAUUCUUCAAUUACUUGCAAAUUUGGUGAGUUCCUUCAAACGGUGGGCGAAGAGCUUAAUUUUGAGAGAGAGGAAAAGUCGUGAAGAGUAUUUGCGAGAGAGGGGGAACGUCGCCAGAGAGCAUUUGCGAGAGAGCUAAAGACAGUGACGAUGUGGGAUGAAGUAAGGUUUUUUUCGGUCAUUGUUCACAAGUGGGAUGAAAGCUUCGAAUUAUUUGUUUUAAAUCAAAAAGCGUAUGAUUGAAGGAAAACAUUGAUUUUUUAUUAGGGUAAUUUUUAAUGACACAUAAUUUAUGCCAUUAUUUACGAUGCGAAAAUUUUGUCAAGAAAACUCAAUUUGUGUCACAAAAAAUUUUGUAUUUUUAUUUUUAACGACACAUUUUAUUCCCUCAUAUCCCUUUUUCUUGAUUUCAAGUGUCAUUAAAACUUAUAUUUCUAAAUAAAUUUAUUCGACGAAAGUGGCUAGAUUGGUGGGUUUGACGGCGAAGGCUUGUUGUGGGAGCAAUGACAACAGUGGUUGGAGUGUGGAAUCGACGACGGCAAGUGGCAAAAAAUUGGAGGGCAAGGGUUCUUCAUAACCACUUGGUAGCCCACUUCGAACUUUUUUGAAAUUUGAGGUUUUUUCAUUUGAAAAUGUUUUUAAUGAGAAAAAAAUUGUUAAUUAAUUACGCAAAAAUUGGUUUGAAAUAAAUUAAAUUGUGUCAAUAUGAUUGUUUUAAGAAAUAAUCCAUAUUUUUAUUUUCAACAACACAAUGUACCUCAUCUCACCUCUUUUUUCUUUUAUUUUCAACGACACAAUGUCUUGAUUAAAAUCCAUUUUUCUAGUAGUGACUGAAAAAAAAACUGGACAAAAUCAUAAUAUCUUUGAUAAUUAAAUCACCAGUUGGUCUCUUACUGGGUAUUUUUAUACUCACCCUUCUUAUGUUUAAUUUUCAGGCAAAUGUAAUAAAGGCGGCAAACCGGCGAGGGGCAGGAAGGAAGCGUGAUUGCCAUAGGAAAUGUGUUAUUUUGCUUCCGCUUAUUGUUUUUUUUUUAGGUUUAAGACGUUGUAUUGAAAUUUAGCUUACAAACUUUUAUUUGUAAAUAGUACUUUUUUUAAGUUUUUGGAAUAUUUGAAAAUCAGGCUUGACUUAAAGUUGUUUUUCAAUUGGCUUACAUUUCAUUUUGUAUCAACCAAAGUCUUUUGUCAAAAAUUAACGACCUCGACUUACCUAGAAAAGUUGGGUCGUUACAGUUGGUAUCAGAGCCUAAGUUUUAGGUUCUGUAGACUUACUUACGAUGUAAGUCUAUGUUUUAUGUCCCUUUGCCUAACGCGACCCUUCGUCUCUCGUCAGGUAUGCUUUAUGCUUAUAUGUAUGGUUUAUUUGCAUGACUUUGCCUAAAUUAAACUAGAUUGCAUGACGAUAAAGACUUGCUUAUGCUUAUGAUUAAGACUUUUUAAAGAGUGUUGUUGGUGGAUAAUAGGAAUUAUGCCGCCAAAGAGAGGUGUACGUAGAGGAGGUCGUAGAGGCCGGGGUAGAGGAGCAGGUCGUAAUCAACCUACUGAGGGUCAAGCUGAAUAGCGAAUUCCUACUGCACCCGUGACUCAUGUUGAGUUUGCUGCACUGUCUGCUCACAUGGAGCAGAGGUUCACGGAGCUUAUGACGGCUAUAGCUCAGAACCAGCAGGCACCUGCAGUUCCACUUGCACCUGUGGUUCCCCCUGUAGCAGCAGCUCCACCUGCACCAGCAGCCCCUCCUGCGCAAGGAUUGGCUGCACAACAGCCGUAGACAUUACCGAACCAACUUUCUGCUGAGGCGAAACAUUUGAGGGACUUUAGGAAAUAUGACCCUCAGACGUUUGAUGGGUCACUAGAGGAUCCUACUAAAGCUGAGUUGGGGUUGUCCUCUGUGGAAAUCAUAUUUAAUUACAUGAGAUGUCCAGAGAAGCAUAGAGUUCAGUGUGCUGCUUUUCUUCUGAGGGACAGAGGUAUUAUCUGGUGGAGAACUACGAUGCGUAUGCUAGGUGGAGAUGUGAGACAGAUUACCUGGGAUCAGUUUAAAGACUGCUUCUAUACCAAGUUUUUCUCGGCUAACCUUAGAGACGCCAAAAGCCAGGAAUUCUUGGAAUUGAAGCAAGGACAUAUGACAGUCGAGGAGUACGACCAGGAGUUUGAUAUGCUGUCGCGUUUUGCCCCUGAACUUGUUGGUAAUGAGCAGGCUAAAGCUGAUAGGUUCGUCAAAGGAUUGAGAGAUGAGAUUAGAGGCUUUGUGCGAGCACUAAAGCCCACUACCCAGGCUGAAGCGCUGCGCCUGGCAAUGGAUAUGAGCAUUGGGAAGGAUGAAAUUCGGGCAAGGAGUUUUGAUAAGGGAUCGUCGUCUGGUCAAAAGAGGAAAGCAGAGCAGAGAACUGUGGGAAUUCCUUAGAGGAACUUGAGAUCAGGCAAUCCUUUUUGCAGUUUCCAGCAGAGUUCUGGUGGGGCAGGAGACACUACUCGAGAGAAGCCACUAUGCAAUACGUGUGGGAAACACCACCUGGGUCGUUGUUUGAUGGGAACGAGAGUCUGUUAUAAGUGCAAGCAAGAGGGACACAUGGCUGAUCGAUGUCCCUUAAGAUCUACUGGGGCUGGACAGAGCAGUCAGGGAGCGAAACCUCCACAGCGGGGUACAAUCUUUGCCACUAAUAGAUCAUAAGCACAGAAGGCCUGCACAGUGAUGACAGGUACAUUACCAGUGUUAGGGCAUUUUGCCUUAACCUUGUUUGACUCGGGGUCUUCUCAUUCAUUUAUUUCAUCGCUUUUUGUGACGCAUGCAUGCUUAGAGAUGGAACCCUUAGAUUAUGUUUUGUCAGUGUCUACACCGUCUGGAGAAAUUAUGUUGUCUAAGGAAAAGACUAAAGCAUGUGAAAUUGAGAUAGCUGGUCGUGUGCUGGACGUAACCUUGUUGGUAUUAGAUAUGCGUGACUUUGAUGUAAUUUUAGGUAUGGAUUGGCUAGCUACUAAUCAUGCUAGUAUUGAUUGCUCUCGUAAAGAGGUUGUGUUCAGUCCCCCUACCGAAUCUAGCUUUAAAUUCAAGGGGGUAGGAACAGUAGUACUGCCUAAAGUAAUCUCAGCUAUGAAAGCUAGUAAACUGCUCAACCAGGGUACCUGGAGUAUUUUGGCAAGUGUGGUGGAUACUAGGGAAGAUGAGACUUCCUUAACUUCAGAACCUGUGGUAAGAGAAUACCCAGAUGUGUUUCCAGAAGAUCUUCCAGGACUACCGCCACAUAGAGAGAUUGAUUUUGCCAUUGAGUUGGAGCCAGACACUACUCCCAUUUCUAGAGCCCCUUAUAGGAUGGCUCCUGUCGAGUUGAAAUAACUGAAGGUACAGUUACAGGAGUUGCUUGACAAAGGCUUUAUUCGACCUAGUGUGUCGCCUUGGGGUGCACCAGUAAUUGUUUGUGAAGAAGAAGGAUGGGUCGAUGCGUCUUUGCAUUGACUAUAGAGAGUUGAAUAAAGUAACAAUCAAGAACAGAUAUCCUUUACCUAGAAUCGAUGAUUUGUUCGAUCAGUUACAGGGAGCCACGGUGUUCUCUAAGAUUGACUUACGGUCAGGUUAUCACCAGUUGAGGAUUAGAGACCGUGAUAUUCCUAAGACUGCUUUUCGUUCGAGGUACGGACAUUAUGAAUUCAUAGUAAUGUCUUUUGGUUUGACUAAUGCACCUGCAGUAUUUAUGGAUUUGAUGAACAGGGUGUUUAAGGAUUUCUUAGACACUUUUGUGAUAGUCUUCAUUGAUGAUAUUUUGGUUUAUUCAAAGACUGAGGCCGAACAUGAGGAACACUUACAUAAAGUGUUAGAGACUCUUCGAGUCAAUAAACUUUAUGCUAAAUUCUCUAAGUGCGAAUUUUGGUUGAAGCAGGUGGCUUUUCUUGGUCAUGUGGUUUCCAGUGAGGGAGUUUCUGUAGACCCUGCAAAGAUAGAAGCGGUUACCAGUUGGUCUCGACCCUCUACAGUUAGUGAGGUUCGUAGUUUUCUGGGUUUAGCAGGGUACUACCGGAGGUUUGUGGAGGAUUUUUCACGUUUGGCUACUCCCUUGACUCAGUUGACAAGGAAGGGAACUCCGUUUGUUUGGAGUCCAGCUUGCGAGGAUAGUUUUCAGAACCUUAAGCAAAGGUUAGUUACUGCACCGGUCCUUACAGUACCAGAUGGAUCCGGAAGUUUUGUGAUUUACAGUGAUGCUUCCAAGAAAGGACUGGGUUGUGUUUUGAUGCAGAAAGGUAAGGUGGUUGCUUAUGCCUCUCGUCAGUUGAAGAGUCACGAGCAGAACUACCCCACACAUGAUUUGGAGUUGGCAGCAGUGGUUUUUGCAUUGAAGAUAUGGAGACAUUAUUUGUACGGUGAAAAGAUACAAAUCUUUACUGACCAUAAGAGACCUGAAGUACUUCUUCACUCAGAAGGAGUUGAAUAUGAGACAGCGAAGGUGGCUCGAGUUGGUAAAGGAUUAUGACUGUGAGAUAUUGUACCAUCCUGGUAAGGCGAAUGUGGUGGCUGAUGCUCUUAGUAGAAAAGUAUCACAUUCGGCAGCACUCAUUACUAAACAGGUACCAUUACAUCGAGACUUGGAGAGAGCUGAGAUUGUAGUAUCUGUGGGGAGAGUCACCUCACAGUUAGCUCAAUUAACGGUGGCAACUGACUCUGAGGCAGAAAGAUUGUUGAUGCUCAGAGUAAUGAUCCUUAUUUGAUGGAAGAGACGUCGCCUUGUUGGAACAGAGCAGACUGAUGAGUUCUCCAUAUCCUCUGAUGGUGGAUUGAUGUUUGAGAGACGUUUGUGUGUGCCAGCGAACAGUGCAGCUAAGAUUGACUUACUAGAUGAAGCCCAUAAUUCUUCAUUUUCCAUGCAUCCUGGUAGUACGAAAAUGUAUCAGGAUCUAAAACGAUUUUAUUGGUGGCGGAAUAUGAAAAGGGAAGUGGCGGAAUUCGUUAGUAAGUGUCUAGUAUGUCAGCAGGUUAAGGCACCUAGACAGAAACCAGCAGGUUUGUUACAACCUUUAAGUGUGCCAGAGUGGAAGUGGGAGAAUGUGUCGAUGGAUUUUAUUUCAGGGCUGCCUAAGACCCUGAAGGGUUUCACAGUGAUUUUUGGUUGUGUAGACAGGCUUACGAAAUCGGCACAUUUUGUACCAGGGAAAUCCACUUAUACUACUAGUAAGUGGGCACAGUUGUAUUUAACUGAGGUUGUGAGACUGCAUGGAGUGCCUGUAUCGAUUGUUUCUGACAGGGAUGCACGGUUUACUUCCAAGUUUUGGAAGGGACUUCAGACUGCUAUGGGUACGAGAUUAGAUUUCAGUACAGCCUUUCAUCCACAGACUGAUGGUCAAACUGAACGUUUGAACCAAGUUUUAGAGGAUAUGCUACGAGCUUGUGUUCUAAGAGUUUCCAGGUAGUUGGGACUCUCAUCUACAUUUGAUGGAGUUUGCUUAUAACAACAGUUUCCAGGCUACCAUCGGUAUGACACCAUUUGAGGCUUUGUAUGGUAAAUGUUGUAGAACCCCUAUUUGUUGGAGUGAGGUUGGUGAACAGAGGUUGAUGGGACCUAAAUUAGUUCGGUCUACUAAUGAGGCUAUUCAAAAGAUUAGAGCACGUAUGCAAACAGCGCAGAGUAGACAAAAGAGUUAUGCAGAUGUACGGCGAAAAGACCUUAAGUUUGAUGUGGGAGAAAAGGUAUUCUUGAAGGUAGCACCUAUGAAGGGUGUUAUGCGUUUUGAGAAGAAAGGGAAGUUAAGUCCUCGUUUUGUUGGACCAUUUGAGAUCUUAGAGAGGGUUGGUGUUGUGGCGUAUCGCUUGGCAUUACCACCAUCACUCUCUGCAGUCCAUAAUGUUUUCCAUGUUUCGAUGUUGUUGAGGAAGUAUGUGGCCGAUACAUCUCAUGUCGUGGACUAUGAACCCUUGGAGAUUGAUGAGCAUUUGAGCUAUGUAGAACAACCUGUGGAGAUUCUGGCUAGAGAGGUAAAGAUGCUUCGUAAUAGAAGCAUUCCAUUAGUAAAGGUUUUGUGGCGGAAUCAUCGAAUUGAAGAGGCGACAUGGGAGCGAGAAGAAGAGAUGAGGACUCGUUAUCCAGCGUUAUUUCAGGAUUAGAACUUUCGCCUUAAGGAGGAAAGAAUGUAACGCCCCAAACUCGAAGGUAUUUUAUUUUAAGAGAUUUUUUCGAUUUGUACCAGAUUUAUUGUUUUGAAGAAAAUAUGUUGAAGGGGGGAAAGAAGAUUUGAAAAUGUGAUAAUACAAUUAUAUAUAUAUUUAUUUAUAUAUUUAGUUUUAUUAUUUAGUUUAAAUAAAAGAAAAGAAAAAGAAAUUUUAUUAUAUAUAUAUUUAUUUAUAUUUUAGUUUUAUUUUUAUUAUUUAAAUAAAAGAAAAGAAAAAAGAAAAUUUUUCCUUCCUUCUUCCUCCCGUGCGUCCUCCAUCCCUUUCUCCUUCCCGUACCCUAGCAUCCGCACAUCCCUCUCUUCUCCGUUCACCCAGUCGGCCACACAAGCUGCCGGUCGUUUCUUCUUCUUCUUUCCGGUCGUCUUCCUUUUCUCCUUCGGAUCGAAACCGUCGCGCCGUCGCUUGUGCUUCACCCUUGCAAUUCGCCAUAACCCAGAUCCGUCGCUGCAACCGUCGGCCGGUUCGUUAAGUGUCGUACGCGUCACCUUGCAGCAGUCGUCCAGAUCUGCGUCGCCGUGCCCAUUGCUUUCCUCUCCAUUCGUGAAGCCCUGCUGCGCAAUCUCUGUCUCCGUCGAAGCCAAGCCCAGCCGCCGCCCGUUCCUUUCUCCUCCGUUUUCUGCACUGCCACGUGACUCUCCGACCGCGUCUGUCUUCACCUUCGUGAAGCCGUCGACGCAUACAUCUCGUGAAGUCAUACACGGAUCCCAGUCGAUCUCUUCCUAAAUUACGUGUCCCCUAUCAAGUCGACGUUCUUGUGCUCGUUGUAAGACGGAGUUACGAUUUGAAGCCGAUUUUCUUUU
rnacentral:lncRNA from 1 species